CAAGAAAUAGUUUAUAAAAAUAUUAGUUUUGGGGACUAAAGUUAUGGCUUUAGCUUUUUUCUUGA
rnacentral:tRNA from 1 species